UGGGGAAUAUUGCACAAUGGGCGAAAGCCUGAUGCAGCGACGCCGCGUGAGGGAUGACGGCCUUCGGGUUGUAAACCUCUUUCAGUAGGGACGAAGCGCAAGUGACGGUACCUGCAGAAGAAGCACCGGCUAACUACGUGCCAGCAUCCGCGGUAAUACGUAGGGUGCGAGUGUUGUCCGGAAUUACUGGGCGUAAAGAGCUCGUAGGCGGUUUGUCACGUCGUCUGUGAAAUCCUAGGGCAUAACCCUGGACGUGCAGGCGAUACGGGCUGACUUGAGUACUACAGAGGAGACUAGAAUUUCUGGUGUAGCGGUGGAAUGCACAGAUAUCAGGAAGAACACCGAUGGCGAAGGCAGGUCUCUGGGUAGUAACUGACGCUGAGGAGCGAAAGCAUGGGUAGCGAACAGG
rnacentral:rRNA from 1 species